GCAGGGGUACCCAAGUGGUCAAAGGGGCAGGGCUUAAGACCCUGUGGCUUAGUGCCUUCGCAGGUUCGAAUCCUGUCCCCUGCA
rnacentral:tRNA from 1 species